rnacentral:rRNA from 1 species
UACGUAGGGUGCGAGCGUUGUCCGGAAUUAUUGGGCGUAAAGGGCUCGUAGGCGGCUUGUUGCGUCGGACCGUGAAAACCCGCGGCUUAACUGCGGGCUUGCGGUCGAUACGGGCGGGCUGGAGUUCGGUAGGGGAGACGUGGAAGUUCCUGGAUGUGAGCGGUGGAAAUGACGCAGACGUAUCAGGAGGAACACCGGUGGCGAAGGCGGGUCUCUGGGCCGAUACUGACGCUGAGGAGCGAAAGCGGUGGGAGCGAACAGG